rnacentral:misc_RNA from 1 species
GAUGAAGAACGUAGCGAAAUGCGAUAAGUAAUGUGAAUUGCAGAAUUCAGUGAAUCAUCGAAUCUUUGAACGCACCUUGCGCUCCCUGGUAUUCCGGGGAGCACGCCUGUUCGAGUGUCGCGAAAUUCUUCAAGCCUUGGAUGGAUUUUUUUUGUCUGUCCUUGGGCUUGGUUGUUGGGCUCUGCCGUGUCCUUCAUUGGGACGGCUGGCCUUAAAAGCAUUAGCCGAUCCUCGUGUGGUACUGGUUCUACUCAGCGAGAUAACAAUCUGAUCGUUGAGGACAUCUUCUGGAUGGCCAGUCAUCAUUUGGGUUGCUUCUAAACCGGUUUCGCAGAUUGCUCAAUCUGUGUGCCACUUUUCAGCUUUGACCUCGAAUCAGGUGGGACUACCCGCUGAACUUAAGCAUAUCAAUAAGCGGAGGA